rnacentral:tRNA from 1 species
GGGCCGUUAGCUCAGUUGGUAGAGCAGCUGACUCUUAAUCAGUAGGUCGAAGGUUCGAGUCCUUCACGGCCCACCA